rnacentral:lncRNA from 1 species
UAAUUUCCCCUAAAAAACGCCCAUUUUUGGCCUGCACUAGAAAGGCUUUCAAGCAAUAACGGUAGCUCACAAUGUCUGAUUACAGUAUUUC